CUCCAAGUUCAGGCUCAAAUAUUGGCUACCUGCCCUUUACAUAUUUAUUUCUAUUUUAAGAACCAAAAUUAUAGAUAAAAUACUAAUUUUUUAAAUAAUUAACCCCACCAAUUGUUCAAACCCACCAUACAAACAUUUCAGGCCCAGGUCCAUUUACCACACCCCAACCGCCCACACGGCUUCUGACUUCCCGACGGCGAUGGCGACGGCAACAAAAUGGGGAGGAGAGAGAAAAGCGAAACCGGACAAAAAGAGAUGUAGGAGAACGGAGGAAGUGACGGUGUUAGCAACGCCCACUGGUGGUGGGCUUUGGCCGGCGCAACACAGCUUGGUUGGGGUAUCGCCUCUUUUCGGCGAGGAUUGAUCGGCAAUUCCAGCCUCAUGCCCUUAAAGGCCUUCGCUGUUGCUUCGCUUUUCGUCGGCGGCGGCGCCUCGUGUGCCAUCGCUUCCCUCAAGGCCUCUGGCAUCCACAAGGUGGAAGACAUGAUGGAAGAAGGGGCUAGUAUUAGGAGUGGAUUGGGGAUUCGUCCAAGGCCACAAGAUGAAUGAAUCUUAUUAUAUUCUAUGGGUAACCUGAGAACAUCUUCUCAUUCACCUUCACCUUCACCUUCUCCUCACCUUCACUGUCACUUUCAGGAAUCCAAAUUCAUACCACAGACGACUGUGCACCUUCUAUUGAUGGUGAAACAGUCACGAGGAGUCCGAUUCCUUAAUUAGAGGACUCCUGAAAUUAUUUUGUGUGUACCACUGAAAUGGCAUUAAGGAUUAAGAACCUGUUGGAAUCACUUUUUUCUAUCUCCAUUACUUUGCUUCACUGCUUACUUUUAUAUGUCCAUGACCUUCCUUCGCUUACAUUUCCUUUUUUUUUCCUUCUAUUUUGGUAAAAUCAUCUUUUCUGAA